GAUGAAGAACGUAGCGAAAUGCGAUACUUGGUGUGAAUUGCAGAAUCCCGUGAACCAUCGAGUCUUUGAACGCAAGUUGCGCCUCAAGCCAUUAGGUUGAGGGCACGUCUGCCUGGGCGUCACAUAUCGUUGCCUGAUGCCAGUUUCCUCGUGAUGGGUGACUGUGCAGGGCGAAUGAUGGCUUCCCGUGAGCAUUGUUGCCUCAUGGUUGGUUGAAAAUUGAGUCCUUGGUAGGGAGCGCCGUGAUAGAUGGUGGUUGAGUGACGAACGAGACCCAAUCAUGUGAGACCCCUACCGAAUUUGGCCUUCAUGACCCACAUGCGUCUUUGGAACGCUCAUGACGAGACCUCAGGUCAGGCGGGGCUACCCGCUGAGUUUAAGCAUAUCAAUAGCGGGGA
rnacentral:misc_RNA from 1 species